GAUGAACGCUGGCGGCGUGCCUAACACAUGCCAGUCGAACGGAGAUUACGGACGGAAGUUUUCGGAUGGAAGACUGUAAUUCUUAGUGGCGGACGGGUGAGUAACGCGUGGGCAACCUGCCCUAUACAGGGGGAUAGCAGCUGGAAACGGCUGGUAAGACCGCAUAAGUCGGCGAGACCGCAUGGUUUUGCCGGGAAAUGAGCAAUCAGGUAUAGGAUGGGCCCGCGUCCGAUUAGCCAGUUGGCAGGGUAAAAGCCUACCAAAGCAACGAUCGGUAGCCGGACUGAGAGGUCGGACGGCCACAUUGGGACUGAGACACGGCCCAAACUCCUACGGGAGGCAGCAGUGGGGGAUAUUGCACAAUGGAGGAAACUCUGAUGCAGCGACGCCGCGUGAGUGAAGAAGUAUUUCGGUAUGUAAAGCUCUAUCAGCAGGGAAGAUGAUGACGGUACCUGACUAAGAAGCCCCGGCUAACUACGUG
rnacentral:rRNA from 1 species